rnacentral:rRNA from 1 species
GACGAACGCUGGCGGCGUGCUUAACACAUGCAAGUCGAACGGAAAGGCCCUGCUUUUGUGGGUUGCUCGAGUGGCGAACGGGUGAGUAACACGUGAGUAACCUGCCCUUGACUUUGGGAUAACUUCAGGAAACUGGGGCUAAUACCGGAUAGGAGCUCCUGCUGCAUGGUGGGGGUUGGAAAGUUUCGGCGGUUGGGGAUGGACUCGCGGCUUAUCAGCUUGUUGGUGGGGUAGUGGCUUACCAAGGCUUUGCCGGGUAGCCGGCCUGAGAGGGUGACCGGCCACAUUGGGACUGAGAUACGGCCCAGACUCCUACGGGAGGCAGCAGUGGGGAAUAUUGCACAAUGGGCGGAAGCCUGAUGCAGCAACGCCGCGUGCGGGAUGACGGCCUUCGGGUUGUAAACCGCUUUCGCCUGUGACGAAGCGUGAGUGACGGUAAUGGGUAAAGAAGCACCGGCUAACUACGUG